GAUGAACGCUGGCGGCGUGCCUAAUACAUGCAAGUCGAGCGAACGGACGAGAAGCAUGCUUUUCUGAUUUUAGCGGCGGACGGGUGAGUAACACGUGGAUAACCUACCUAUAAGACUGGGAUAACAUCGGGAAACCGGAGCUAAUACCGAAUAAUAUCUCGACUCUCAAGGUUCAAAAGUGAAAGACGGUCUUUCUUACACUUAAAGAUGGACCCGUGCUGCAUUAGAUAGUUGGUAAUGUAACGGUUUACCAAGGUAACGAUGCAUAGACCACCUUAGAGCGUGAAGCGCCUCAUGGUAAUUUAGAUACUGUCCACACUCGUAGUUGAGGCAUCAGGCGGGACUCUUCCGUUAUGGACUAAUGCGGGACGGAGCACUGUCGCGUGAGUGAUGAACGUCCUCUGCUUGUAAAGCGCUGUAAUCAGGGAGGAUCAUAUGUUUAUGUAACUGGGACCAUCUUGACGGUACCUGGUCAGUAAGCUACGGCUAACUACGUG
rnacentral:rRNA from 1 species